rnacentral:rRNA from 1 species
UACAGAGGGUGCGAGCGUUAAUCGGAAUUACUGGGCGUAAAGCGUGCGUAGUCGGUUAUCUAAGUCGGGUGUGAAAAUCCCCCGGGCUCAACCUGGGAAUUGCAUUCGAUACUGGAUAGCUAGAGUUCGGCAGAGGGAAGCGGAAUUUCGGGGUGUAGCGGUGAAAUGCGUAGAUAUCCGAAGGAACAUCAGUGGCGAAAGCGACUCGACUG